UGCACUUUUCUCAGAAAACGGUUUAAUAUAACUCAUAUUUGGAGCCUAGGAAUACAUUAUGGGACUGUAGUCACAGUCAACAUAAGCAGAAAAUGUUGAAUUUAAAUAAAAAUCACUAUUUUCAAGUAUCUCUUAAGCCUCCAAUUUUUGUCCUAAAAUGAGAAUAUUUAAAUAGGCUGGCACCUCUGGAUUAUUUUGGCUAGUGAUGUGUAUUACGAUCAUUUUGUUCCACGUUUCAUGCAACAAGACACUUCUGUAGAGAAAGUUAACAUCGUGCUCCAGGGCCUUUACUCCUUGUACAGGACUGUGGGUUCCGAGUGGGGCAAAAUGAUGUAGAGUAGCCCCUCGUCCUGUGUCCCUUUAUAAAACCAUUAGAUUUUGCUCUUUAUAAAACCAUGAGAUCUCGUGAGGCAUAUUUGCUAUCAUGAGAACAGCACGGGAAAGGCCCGCCCCCAUGAUUCAGUUACCUCCUGCGGGUCCCUUUCAUGACAUGAUGUAGAGUGGCCCCUCAUCCUGUGCCUCUAUCUAGAAUUCUGACAAGCCAUUUUCAAGGGAAGCUGGUACAAGUAGGUGAAUAGAACGGUGACACCUUCAAAGGAAUGAGGCAUAUUUUUUUCUUCCCUCUUUCCUAUAGUUUUCCCAACUUCAUGCUAAAGUAUAUUCCAACACCACAGCUAGCCACAUGUGGGCAAAUGGUAGAAAAUGAGGCCAGUCAAAAACAAGGAGAACAAUAAUUUGGACAAAUAUAACAAAAGAAAUAAAAAGUAGUCAAAUUUGUCACAACAGGUAAGGCCCUACCAGGCCUCCCCUCUGGGCUCGUAGUUGCCUUCUUUGGCAUUUUCCAGUGGCUACCUCUGGGAGGGUUGUUGUAGAAGGCUGUGAACUUCAAAAUAAAAUACAUUACGGAAAAAUAUAAAAUGUUAUUUUUGUGUCCAUAAAAAUAACUGGACAUGUGAGACAUAAGGGAAAUUCCCUGUCUUCCAGAGAGAAUAUGAAGAAAUGAUUAUUUAUUGGCUAUGAGUCAAUGAAUGAUGGCCCUCCCAUCCUCUUUGAGCUGAUAAGGGCUAAUGU
rnacentral:lncRNA from 10 species